rnacentral:rRNA from 1 species
UACGGGGGGAGCAAGCGUUGUUCGGAUUUACUGGGCGUAAAGGGCGCGUAGGCGGUCGUGACAAGUCACUUGUGAAAUCUCCGGGCUUAACUCGGAACGGUCAAGUGAUACUGUCGGACUAGAGUACAGAAGGGGCAACUGGAAUUCUCGGUGUAGCGGUGAAAUGCGCAGAUAUCAGGAGGAACACCGGUGGCGAAGGCGGGUCUCUGGGCCGUAACUGACGCUGAGGAGCGAAAGCGUGGGGAGCGAACAGG